GUCCAGACUCCUACGGGAGGCAGCAGUGGGGAAUAUUGCACAAUGGGGGGAACCCUGAUGCAGCGACGCCGCGUGAAGGAAGAAGUAUCUCGGUAUGUAAACUUCUAUCAGCAGGGAAGAAAGAGGACGGUACCUGACUAAGAAGCCCCGGCUAACUACGUGCCAGCAGCCGCGGUAAUACGUAGGGGGCGAGCGUUAUCCGGAUUCACUGGGUGUAAAGGGAGCGUAGACGGCCAAGCAAGCCAGGGGUGAAAGCCCGGGGCCCAACCCCGGGACUGCCCUUGGAACUGCAUGGCUGGAGUGCGGGAGGGGCAGGCGGAAUUCCUGGUGUAGCGGUGAAAUGCGUAGAUAUCAGGAGGAACACCGGCGGCGAAGGCGGUCUGCUGGACCGCGACUGACGUUGAGGCUCGAAAGCGUGGGGAGCGAACAGGAUUAGAUACCCCCGUAU
rnacentral:rRNA from 1 species